rnacentral:sRNA from 1 species
AAUUAAUUAACCAACUGAGAUCCAGUUCAGGGGUGAAAGUUCUUCAGAAAGCCACCUCUCCCUCCUGUACCACCUCACCGCGGUGUCCUCGCCUGCCCCGGGGACUCCUGCCUUCUGGGUGUCUGGCUGGCUGGGCCCGCAGCAGUACCUGAGCUACAAUAGCCUGCGGGGCGAGGCGGAGCCCUGUGGAGCUUGGGUCUGGGAAAACCAGGUGUCCUGGUAUUGGGAGAAAGAGACCACAGAUCUGAGGAUCAAGGAGAAGCUCUUUCUGGAAGCUUUCAAAGCUUUGGGGGGAAAAGGUGAGAUUCCGGUCUGGAGGGGCAAGGGGCCGGGUCCAUGCUCUUGGGCCCCGCUUACCUGUGUUUGGGCGCCCCAGGUCCCUACACUCUGCAGGGCCUGCUGGGCUGUGAACUGGGCCCUGACAACACCUCGGUGCCCACCGCCAAGUUCGCCCUCAACGGCGAGGAGUUCAUGAAUUUCGACCUCAAGCAGGGCACCUGGGGUGGGGACUGGCCCGAGGCCCUGGCUGUCAGUCAGCGGUGGCAGCAGCAGGACAAGGCGGCCAACAAGGAGCUCACCUUCCUGCUGUUCUCCUGCCCGCACCGCCUGCGGGAGCACCUGGAGAGGGGCCGCGGAAACCUGGAGUGGAAGGGCUGCUGGACAAAGAUAGAUACCAGCUGGGGACGGGCACAGAUAUUCAUUCCAAGUGCCACAAAGGAGAAGUUGAGACUCAACCAGAGCCCCCCUCCAUGCGCCUGAAGGCCCGACCCAGCAGCCCUGGCUUUUCCGUGCUUACCUGCAGCGCCUUCUCCUUCUACCCUCCGGAGCUGCAACUUCGGUUCCAGCGGAAUGGGCUGGCCGCUGGCACCGGCCAGGGCGACUUCGGCCCCAACAGU